rnacentral:lncRNA from 1 species
UGGUUACUAACGCAGGAAGUUACUGCCACCUUUGGAACGGCUGGCCCUCCUCCAGCCACGGCAGCUGACAUCUUUCAUCGGGAAAUUCUUGGCAGACAAUAUUUCCUCCAUCUUCAACUGGAGCCACUGGAAGUACAAUCUAUAACUCUCAGGAGUGUCAAGCUGGCUAAAAUUUGAAGGAGAGGAAAGAAGGAGAAUCUCACCAAAGGAGCAUGCAAAUGAAGACAGCUGUGUGCCUUUGAGAGUUAUUUUAGUCUUUGUUUUUCUCUAUA